UACGAAGGGGGCUAGCGUUGCUCGGAAUCACUGGGCGUAAAGGGUGCGUAGGCGGGUCUUUAAGUCAGGGGUGAAAUCCUGGAGCUCAACCUACCAGUACGUCGUCUUGAUACUGAGGAUCUUGAGUUCGGGAGAGGUGAGUGGAACUGCGAGUGUAGAGGUGAAAUUCGUAGAUAUUCGCAAGAACACCAGUGGCGAAGGCGGCUCACUGGCCCGAUACUGACGCUGAGGCACGAAAGCGUGGGGAG
rnacentral:rRNA from 1 species